AUAUAUUUUAUAUUUGCUUUUAUGUGUGCUCGUUAGUGUCUGAUGAUAGAUAUACAGGUCAAAUCUAGUUCAGAAGAUUUCUGCAAAUAACAGUGUUUUAACAUUACUGAUACACAUGUUAUAUAUAGAAAGAGAAAGAAAAAGGAAGUACCUUACAACGCGGUAAUUCUCUAUUUCUCGCUCCGGAAAGAAGGAAAGAAAGAAAGAAAAACGGAGGUCGGCCGGCGGGAUGAUUAGGAAAUUAGACAUAUGGGGCCUGCAGUGGAAGUAUGGGUGCAGAAAUGUUGGAUCUUGGGAAAUGAGGGGACUCGGAGAUCAAGGCCACAGAGCUAGGUAAUAUUCUGGGCACUAGUUUGGAUAUAUUCCCUUCUUUUUCCCCCUUUUUUUGUAAAGCCCCCCAUGUUUCUUGAUUUGCCCAAAACAGAUUACUCUCCCCCCUCUCAGCAGAUAACUUAGUUAAUGAAAUAUAAAUGUGUGUGUGUAUAUAUAUAUAUAUAUAUAUAUAUAUAUAUAUAUAUAUAUAUAUAUAUAUAUAAAUGAAUAUAUGAAAAAUAUGAAGGAAGAUUAAUUAUCCUAGCCUGACUAGAUCUAAAAAUACGUUAAAUUGCUUAACGGGAUUCUAUUUUGCUCUAUCAAUCUAUGAAACUGUUUGAUGAAAGCAAGCGCGUGUUAAUAGCAGUGAACUGUGACAAUAUAUGUUAAGCUGUUUGACGGACUGUAUUUUACACUAUCAAUUCGUAAAACUGUUUGAUGAAAGCUUGUGUUAUAGGCUUAUUAUAGCAGUAAACUGUGACAAUAUGUUAAACGACGGUAUUUUACACUAUCAACCCGUGACACUAAUUGAUGAAAGUGCGUGUAAAGAGUAAUGAAUGUGUAUUAUAAACCGUGAGUAUACAUAAUUCACACGCACAAUAUAUAUAUAUAUAUAUAUAUAUAUAUAUAUAUAUAUAUAUAUAUAUAGAGAGAGAGAGAGAGAGAGAGAGAGAGAGAGAGAGAGAGAGAGANNNNNNNNNNNNNNNNNNNNNNNNNNNNNNNNNNNNNNNNNNNNNNNNNNNNNNNNNNNNNNNNNNNNNNNNNNNNNNNNNNNNNNNNNNNNNNNNNNNNACGUCUGAUAACUGUAUAAUCAGAGUGGGAACAGAUAGCCACAUAUAAGAAACUACUAGCCCCUAUAUAUCUUAUCGCUUACUAAAAAAGUAAGGGCUGAAAACUUAAUUAAUUUUAAAGGCCCCAAAUUAAGCUAAACGCAAAAAAGCAAAAGAUUUCUUAUAUCUUAUUUACUGUUAUAAUAUUGUCAAGUGGUUCUCUCAUUAUAUACAUCUGUAUUUUGCUUUUCACCGUUUGAUGAAGUAAUUCUUGUUUUAGCUAUGAUAUUGAUUUCAAGACAGUUUAUUUAAACAGUUUAUUAAUAAAUUCGAAUUAAUUUGAAAUAUAACUCUUUACUAUACCAAUAUAUACGUCCAACUUGUUUCUAUAAACUAUUUUUAUUGUUCAUUUUGAACGUAACUACCUAUUUUAAACUGUCUAAAAUCAAGAUCCUAUAGGUUGCAUUAUUUAUCUACCUAUAAAAGCUCCAGCUAGAAGAUAACAUGCAUGUAGGAAUAUAGGGUUAAUGUGUAUUUGAGUGGAAGAACCUAAAGGUGAUCAUAAAUGAUAGAUUUGCCUUUAUUCCAAAAGAAGAAAAGGCUGGUCAUAUGUACUUUUCUGGAGUCUCACAGGCAUCUUGAGAAUUUCACAGCAGUACCACUACACAUGUAAGGCACUAAAAUAUCUCCUCAAGAAUCCAAGAAAAACAUUUGAAACCCUAGGAGUUUUUUGCAGCUUUCAUUUUAAGAGGAUUAAUUAGGAGUAAAAGCCAGUAACUAAAAUUAGAAGAAAUAUUAAAUAAAUAAAUAUUAGAAUUAAAAAAAGCACGCCUUUGCACUAGGAACAUUUUUCAUUUGUUUUUUUCAUUUCUUUUCUGAUUAUAUGUUCUUUUCUUUUCUUUUCAUUUUUUUUGUCAUAUAAAUUUUUAUUGUGGGGUUGGGCUAUCAUUUAUGUUGCUUCAAUUAUAAAUCUCUAACAAGAAAACGAUCCACCGAAUUAUAUGUAGACAUAUAAAUGGCAAAAAAUGGGAGGUGAGUCAUAUAUAUAAUUGAGUGAAUUAUUAUACAAAAAUGAAGUACGUCGUUUUGCAUAUAUAUAUAUAUAUAUAUAUAUAUAUAUAUAUAUAUAUAUAUAUAUAGUAAUACGGCCAUACACAGUUGUGUAAGUUUUAUUUGUAUACAGUUUACCAAAACUACGUCAUUUUGGCAAAUUUGUAUUAAAAAAUAGCUUCUUGAUGAGUGUGUUUAUAUACAAAAAUUAGGUACUUUUGAGUUUGAUAAUUUACAAAUUCUAAGUUAGUUUGUUUGGUUUUUAUGUGCUUUCAUUGUAUUGUUGUGUAAUGUAGUUAUAUAUUGCUUUUAUGUAUUUUUGUAUUAUUUUUAUGUAUUUUUACUUUGUUUUGUAGGAAUUGGAUGGAAUGUCAUUUGAGUCGAUGGUUGAAAUCGCCAAAUUCGCAUUUUCGGUUUGCCAUUGACAUAGCAGUCCCAACUCCAAACUCCAAGAAUGAAAGUUAGAGAUCAACGUCUCCUCUUUCCGGAUCAUAUUGAAUCGUCCCAAUCGGAGUUCGGAUGCGAGAGUUAUGGUCAUUUUCCCAAUGGGUGUCAAAUCUGGAAACUACCAACUGUCAUUUGCAUAAUAGUCACUUCAUGGCCAAUUUCAACAUUGUUCCAGCCAUUAUUUCGAAGAACUCAAAGAAUGAAAGUUGUAGAUCUCACUCUCGUCUUUCCAGAACAUCUUGAGUCAUCCAAAUUGGAGUUCGUAUGAAGAAGUUAUGGCUAUUUUCCCAACAGAUGUCGAAUUAAAGAAAAUGAACCUGCGCUGCAGCGCCCCCAAGGCAAAAUCCAGUGCUGCAGCGCCUCUUAGCAGUAGCUCAACCCAUUUUGCAGCGCUGCAGUGCCCCUUUUCAAGGCAAAUCAGGCGUUGCGGCGCUGGGCACGGAUUUUUGACAAAUUUCAGCUGUUAAAUGCUCAACCUAAUGACCCAAUGAACAUAUCUUUCAUUUUAACUUGCAACCUAGAGGGAGAAAAGAGAGAGAAGGCGGAAGAGCUUGGAGAAGGAAGGCCAUGGCCUUGUGCCAAGUUGUUCAACAAGAUUGGAAGUGCUUCAAUGGCGGGCUUCAUCUAGAAACUAAGGGGAAGCCAUUCCUUUUCUUUCUUCUUCCUCUAGCGGCUAGAACUCAUGCUUGGGGAUCUAGUACACAAACACUUGUAACACUAAUGGGGGCA
rnacentral:lncRNA from 1 species